UGGGGGUGUAUUGAGUGGUAGAGCACUUGCCUAGCAUAGCAAGUGCAAGGCCCUAGACUCAACACCCAGUACUUGAAAAAAGAAAAGAACCUUGGUAUAUUACUACUAGCUAAACUUCAGACUAUUUGGAUCACCAAUUUUCAUUUAAUGUCUUCUUUCUGUUCUAGAUCCAUUUCAAGGUGUACUACAUUGCAUUUGGUUAUCAUGUGUCCCUAGUCUUUCUGGUCUGUGAUUUUCAGUUUUGUUUUUUGUGAACUUGGUAGGCAUGAGUAGUACUGGUCAGAUGCCCUGAAGAAUAUUCUCCAAACUGGGUUUGUCAUAUGUUUUUUAUGAUUUAGAAUGAGUAUGUGGGUUUUCAGUAAGAAAAUAUCACAGAGGUGAACUGUACUUCUCAUCACAUAUCAGAGGCUGUGUGAUACCUACAGAUAUCACUGCUGAUGUUAAACUUCAUCACUUAGUUAAUGUGGUAGUUGCUAGGUUUCUCUACUGUAAAGUUGUUCUUUUUCCUUUCCUUAGUUCAUCCUUUAGGAAGUAAGUUAGGUUACAACUUCUGGAUGGGGGGGGUAUAUAUUACUUAGUAAGGCAGAUCUUUCUGUCUCCUCUCCCCUUAUUAAAACAAGCUCCUUACCCCCACCUGCCCUGGCCUGGUAGUGGGGAUUGAAUCCAGGGAAGUGCUACCACUGAGCUUUUUUUUUUGGGGGGGGGUGGCAACAGGGUCUUGCAAAGUUGCCCAGGCUGGCCUGGACCUUGCAAUCCUUGUGCCUUGUAUCUCCUGAGUUGGGAUUACAGGCAUGUACCACCUUGACUAGCUUUCAUUUUAUAUUUUGAGACAGGGUUUCCC
rnacentral:lncRNA from 1 species